rnacentral:other from 12 species
GCAACACUUUAUAGCAAAUCCGCUUAGCCUGUGAAAC